GAUUGCCACACGUUUAGGAAAUAAAAAAGACAUGUGUAUGUUUCUAGCCCUUCAUAUGGAGAAUUCUCCAAUGUGUGUUAGCCCAUCUGAAAAGUUCAAUAAAACUGGGAUUGUUGUGUGUGAGUCAGACAAAAUACACAAAAUGGUAGCAAUGAGCUGCUCCAGAGAAAACCUACAUGCUGUGCAACAUGUCAUGCUGAACGUUCCCUGUUCUUUGAAUAACUGCACUGUGUACUUGUCCAGGAAACCCUGCUCCACCUGUACUACAGUUCUCAUUCAAGGAUCAGUUUCUUCAGUCUAUUACUGGCCAAUGUCUCCAGAACUAAAAGGGGAAGAUUCAGCAGUUGAGGAAGAUCUCAAGCAAGUUGACCAAAUGUUUCUCAGAAGUAAUAUAAAUAGCAGUGUUUUUCUACCAAUCGCAGACUCUGACACUGUAUUUAAGAUUUCAUCUAGAAUCAAAAUAUACAAGUGCACAGAAUGCAGUUCCCAUUAUGCUGAGGCUGUUCCUAAAGACAUGGAAAAAAAUAGUUCAUUGCUUAAUAUGCAAGGCCAUAUAAGGAUAUGUGCAGAGCAGAUGAAGAAUGCAUUGUGUUGCCUUGAUUGUUUACUACAUUGUUCCCAUGGACAAUUUGAAGAAAAAGAAAAGAUCAAUGUGGAAAAAAUGCACACACAUGCAUUGCAGCUUUGUUAUCUUUUAGCAGCAAGAUCUGAUGAUCCAGAUCGAGGUGUUGGUUGCAUAUUAUACAGUCAGAAUGGAUAUUUUGUAAGUAUGGCAAAUGUUUCAUGCACUUCCUUUAAUGUUCACUCUCUCCAGUGCAUUAGCUAAUAAGUAUACUAGUAUUGG
rnacentral:lncRNA from 1 species